ACCACCUGCACCGUCGAAAACCCUAGUAUAACUGAAAUAUCAGUCCUCCAUAUUUGCAGAUUCCCAAUUGCAAAUAGAAAAAAAGAAAACAUAAUCUGAAUUGAGAGGGGGUUGAUGACCCACAUGACUCAAUGAGACAAGAGGACUGCAUGUGAGAACUGGAAACAAGGGAGAGAAUCACAGGGCAGUGGUCAAGGGCUAACCCUUUCUUAGCCCAGCAGCACCAUAGUAAAAAUGGAUGACCCCUGCCUUUGAUAAGAAAAAAUGAAUAGAAAAUGCCUGUGUAACUAAAAAUAUAAAGGAAUUAUUAGCAAUACAAGAGCAUUCACAUGCACCUUUGACAUGUCCUCGCAGACAGAGGACUGAAAAUUUCAAAAGACUUAUCAUUUGAAGCUUGAAAAUUGCUACUAAAGAGAAGAUAUAUGCAUGGAAUAAUGAUACAGUAUAUUCAACUUGGAUAAUCACCAAGCAUUUAUUCACUCAAACUUUCCUCCAAAAUUAAUAUCAAUGCUAUCUCUAUGAAUUAACAAAU